UUCGCAAUGCCCGAAAGGGUGACGAAGCGACGCCGCGUGCGGGAGGAAGGCCUUCGGGUUGUAAACCGCUGUCGGGAGUUAAGAAAUGCAAGGAUGUUAAUAGCGUUCUUGCUUGACUAAGGCUCCGGAGGAAGCCACGGCUAACUCUGUGCCAGCAGCCGCGGUAAUACAGAGGCGGCAAGCGUUGUUCGGAAUUAUUGGGCGUAAGGAGCACGUAGGCGGCUGUGUAAGUCGGUUGUGAAAGCCUUCCGCUCAACGGAAGAACGGCAUCCGAUACUGCAUGGCUUGAGUGUGGGAGGGGAGAGUGGAACUUCUGGUGGAGCGGUGAAAUGCGUAGAUAUCAGAAGGAACACCGGCGGCGAAGGCGACUCUCUGGUCCAUAACUGACGCUGAGUGUGCGAAAGCUAGGGGAGCAAACGGGAUUAGAUACCCCGGUAGUCCUAGCCGUAAACGAUGGGCACUAAGUAGAGGGGUUUU
rnacentral:rRNA from 1 species